CAUAUCUCAUUUUGAUUCCUAUAUUCAAAGUUUAGCAUGUUGGCUGGCAAUUGGUUCUUGGUUCUGGAAUGAAAUGGAAUGGAAUGGAAUGGAAUGGAAUGGAAUGGAAUGGAGUGGAAUGGAAUAGAAUGCCCUGGUCUUGGUUGUUGGUUGUUGUACAUCAACCAAGUUACUGGUGAAACUGUAUUCCCAGGACAUGAUCUGUGGUAGAUUAAGAGUAAGAUGUGACAUGUGAACAUAAUUCUAACAGGUCUAUGAGGAUUGACUCAACCACUUUGAAUUGAAAUUUGAAGGCUGUUAGCCCAGCCCAUAAAUAUACUUUUCUGAAUACUAUCAACACACCUCUGUAUUGGUGGUGGACUUUGAAAGUGGUGGAUUCAGAAGUUAUGUUUAAUUUUAUGACCCCAUUCUUCUGUUGUUACUGAAAAAGGAGACAACAAACUCAAGUUAGAACAAUUAGAUUUUGUUCCUAGCAAAUUUGGAAUUAGGAUUCAUUAAAACAGUAUCCCUUGGUUAUUUGAACUGAAGAGGAAUUAACUGAGGAGCUGCGUGGAUGGCCAUAUGCACAUAGAAGAAAAAAGUCUCAAGACAGAGUGAAUAGAGAAAUCACAAAGACAGUGCAAAAAAUAACAGACCAGAAAUGCAAAAUGGAACUGGUAGGUUUUCAGCAAAGGAAAGCUACAGCAAUCACAAGGAUUCAGAGUAGAAGUAGAGCUAGAGAAGACAGCCAGCAAUGUAGGAAGGAACUCAAGGGACAAAACCCUUCAACUUGGAAAGAUACCUAUUCAAAUAUGAACGGGGAAGACAUGAGGUGUUUACAAUGUCCUGGGCAUGUAUCACAUGCCAGCCCUAAGCUCAGCCUUUCACCUUUGUGGAUGAAGUGCUCCCUCAAAGGUUGGCUUAUCUUUUGGCUUUAUCCUCCAAUGUGUGGCUUACCCUCUACUCUCAAACUCUGGCUGUUCCACUUUCAUUCUUCCCCCUCUUUAUUCUUCUUUGCAUCCCACUGUCAUGCAUGUGUUUAUGUGUUCAUCCUCAGGUCCCUGGAACUUCACUUCGGGUGAUCAAAUCAUCGAGCUUUGCCAGGGACUUUUUCAGUUAAGCUUAAAAGUCCAUGUCCCAGGAACACCCUAUUUUUCCUUUCUAAGCUGCUCUGGAGAUUGACAUCUUUCUCCAAGCCCAACCAAAGGACUGACUGACCCUGCUGCAUAUUUAUUCCUUCAACAGAAUCCUUCAUCUAAAGAACAUCACUGUCCAUCCCUGUCUCCAAACACACACACAUACACAUGCGUGCACACACCCACACACAGAGUUUAGUUUAGAAAUACACUUGAGAGUGAGACCAAGGCUUUGCUUCAUUGUGGCAAAUGCCUCCCCUUUAUCCUUUCAGUAUUAGCUAAAAUCUACUUGAAGGAUUUACUUCAAUCUACUUAGUAUCUAUGCCUUGCAUCUCUGUGUUCCCUGCUCAGCCUUAUGCUUAGUAGGUUUUACUCUCCCUUUGGCUCAUUUCACCAUGUUUU
rnacentral:lncRNA from 1 species